rnacentral:tRNA from 1 species
GGUUCUAUAGUGUAGUGGUCAUCACUCGAGAUUCUGAUCGGACCUCCGAAUCUUCUCGAAACCCAGGUUCGAACCCUGGUAGGACCU